GCAGCUCUGAAAGCGUGAAUCUGGCUCUGCUGAGUGGUAGUGAGGGCAAUCUUUCUCCUUGUACUCAGUAAUUGCCAUGAGAUUUCAGCAGCUUAGGGAAAGAUCCUCAGCUAUAUUUGUGAAGCAUUCAGACAAUCUCUGGAGGGAAUCAUCCCACUUCCUUAUUCCGUGGUUAAAGAAUUUUUAUGAAGGCCUUUGAAGCUGAAAAUGGAAUCAAGGUCUCCCUUCUAAGUGAUUGGAAUUUAAUACACAUAAGAUGUCCUACGUGUGGCUCGGUGCUCAUCUGGGGCUGUGGAUCACGACAGAUAUCAGACUUAUGGUAUUUCUUAUGUAAGAAAUGCAAUUCCAUCUGCUGAAAUUCAAAGCCAGUGCUCAGCCUCCUUCAUUCUCCAUAACCUCUGAACAACUUAUGCAUUUUAGAUAUGCUCAGAGCUAUUGUCAUCUGAACAAGAGAAUAGACAACUAAAAGUAAUAAUUGCAUCAUUGUUUUUGAACAAUAACUUCUGAUUUAUAGCUCUGGGAAACAUCAGUUUUAGAUCUACCUAAGCCUGGAAGAAGAGGAAUCAGGGAUGAAGGAGUGAGACUGAACACGGAAAGAAGAGAAGUGGAUGAGAAUGUGUUUUAGUUUUAGUCUCUUUCUCUUCACUCUGCUGUAUGUUUUAAUG
rnacentral:lncRNA from 1 species